GGUGGUUCUUGGGUGACAUACCCCAGAAGCAGGCUCCCUCCUCUCUGGUUCUGGGUGUGUUAACCUGAGAACCCA
rfam:Myotis brandtii contig202681, whole genome shotgun sequence.